rnacentral:rRNA from 1 species
UACGUAGGCGGAAAAUUAAGUCAGUAGUGAAAUCCUGCAGCUUAACAGUAGAACUGUUAUUGAUACUGGUUUUCUUGAAUAUAGUUGAGGUAGGCGGAAUGUGUAAUGUAGCGGUGAAAUGCUUAGAUAUUACACAGAACACCGAUUGCGAAGGCAGCUUACUAAGCUAUGAUUGACGCUGAGGUACGAAAGCGUGGGGAGCGAACAGGAUUAGAUACCCUGGUAGUCC